rnacentral:tRNA from 1 species
GGUAAAAUGGCUGAAUAUUUAGGCGAUAAAUUGUAAAUUUAUUAAUGAUUUAAAUCUUUUACUU